GUCUGUUGUAAGAUGUAAAGAAAGACAGCUGAGUCUGAUUCUAACUUAGCCAGAGGACACCUUGACGAAUCUGUUAUCUCUAUCUGCAGGUAAGCUAGCCAGCCUGUCUCCUUGAAUUGUUCCCUUUGGGAAAUCUAAUUCACAGUAUUGAUCUCCUUUUUUGCCUUGUACUGAAUGACACAUUACCUCCACGCUCUCCCGGACUAACUGGUCCACAGGGCCACAGGGUUGCUUGCUCUCUCUUGCAGGAAUGGGGAGUCGACAGGGAUGAGGGUCCAAGGAAUGAGCAUGAAUGACAAGAAAACAAGGGGAACAUUAAGCUUUUCCAGGGUGUGCGGUUAAAGGUAUUUGACCAUUCACUGGCUGAGCCAGAUCACGGGAACUCGAGAGCUUUUACUGUGAUUCUUCAAUGUAAAAAAUAAAACAAUGUCAGACUGUGUUUAUAUGAUUUGUAUAAAGCCUUUUUAAGAUUACUAUUUAAAUAAACAUUAUACC
rnacentral:lncRNA from 1 species